rnacentral:rRNA from 1 species
UAGGGAAUCUUCGGCAAUGGACGAAAGUCUGACCGAGCAACGCCGCGUGAGUGAAUAAGGUUUUCGGAUCGUAAAACUCUGUUGUUAGAGAAGAACAAGGACGUUAGUAACUGAACGUCCCCUGACGGUAUCUAACCAGAAAGCCACGGCUAACUACGUGCCAGCAGCCGCGGUAAUACGUAGGUGGCAAGCGUUGUCCGGAUUUAUUGGGAGUAAAGCGAGCGCAGGCGGUUUCUUAAGUCUGAUGUGAAAGCCCCCGGCUCAACCGGGGAGGGUCAUUGGAACCUGGGGGACUUGAGUGCAGUAGAGGAGAGUGGAAUUCCAUGUGUAGCGGUGAAAUGCGUAGAUAUAUGGAGUAACACCAGUGGCGGAGGCGGCUCUGUGGUCUGUAACUGACGCUGUGGAUAGAAAGCAUGGGGAGCAAACAGG